ACGGCCGAAAAUGUUUCUGUUGCAUGAUUCUCUUUACAUGGGCAGUUAAAUGGGCUCAACUAGACUUUCUUUUAAUGCUUUUAACUCAGGCUGGAUAUGGGUCGGUUCUUUGCUGAUGCUUUCAAAACAACACGAAUAAAACGUAGUAAUAUGUUCAUGUUUACAAAUAUACUUAGUUUGCGUUUUGCUUUCUUGGAGAGGUUCGCGUUAUACAGUAUCAACUAUCAAGUCUAUAUAUAUGAUUCUAUAUGAGUAAAUGAAUUAAUUCUCGCUGAUUAAUCAAAUGUACAAUUGGCCUGGUUUAUAUACAUGAAUCAAUUAGACCAACCAGAUGCCUUAAACCAAAACCAAAAGAAACCAGAUUUCGGUUUAUACUAUACCGAUGUGCAACCACCAAAAGAUCAGUAUCAAACAGGAAACUUUUUUUUUAACAGAACAGCUAUCAAAAAGGAAACUAUACAAGUAAUAUAUAUAAAAAAUAUAUAUAUAUAUAUAUAUAUAUGGACAAAGCAAUUAGAAGUUCAAAAACACUGGUAAUCUAACCUAUACUAAAAGGUGAAUAUGAAGCCUUGUGAGACUAUCCACGUCAGAAAAAAUAUUUAACCAAUUAGAACAUUUCUUUUUACCACGUCACAGAUAGAAAUGAAAAUGUUGGACCUGAUUUUUUUUAUCUGUUCCAAAAUUUCCGUGUGGCCUGUUAAGCCCAAACUUGAGAUGCUGAUUUGUUGAUAUGUUUCGUCUCUUCUACUUCUCCAUCUCUGUUGCCGAUUCUUUCACCUCUGUUUUUUUUUUGUUGGUAAAACCACCGUUUCUUUUAUGGUAAAACCUCCGUUUUUUUGAUGAAACCAACCUCAUUAAUUUUUAUCAAUAAAAGCAGAUGGAUUGUUGGUUGUGCGGCUGUGCGAUUGACAUCAAAAUUCACAAAGGAUGAGUCCCCUGUUCGUUUUAUCAACGCUGCGACAAGCCGCGGCAGCUCAAAAUCAUCUCUUCAGUUACGGCAAACACGUGACUCGCCGAUUUGUAGGCCGUUCGUUCUAGAUCCACCAUUGAAGUGGGUCUCUUCAGAUUUGGGAAUCUUGGAAUGGGAAGAAAUCCGGUGAAUUUAUGGGGGUUAGUAUGCUUCUCCUUGAUGGAAAAUUAAUUCCGGUAAGCAAACACAUGACCACCUUCCAAUUUCAUGAAGAUUUUAUACUUUACAAUUCAUAGAAAAGUAGUCUACUUUUGUUUCUUUCACUUUUCAUUUCAUCUGUUUGAAACCUAGAAUACAUGCCUAGACAGGUCAUGUCUGAACUCUUUCAUUCUUCUCUCUUCCAUGGAUCUGUUUCUUAAAAUUAUAGCACUUCAUUACUGAGCUUGGAAGCUGUCUGUUCUUCUGUAGACGCCACGCCGUCAAUGGUUUACGGUUUCUGAGAAAAGGGACCCUUUUCAAUAAAGCAUAAAUCUUUGCUAAUAUUGUCGAAUCAAUUGAUGAAUGGUUAUAAAGGUAUAGUUUUUCUUUUUGUUGUUAUUGCAGUUACUUUGUCGAAGACAAAAAGAAAGGAAGGGAGGGAGGGAGCACAAGGAGAGUGUUGUUAAUUAAAACAGAGAGGCUGUCAAGAAAUAAUUCUGAAUAUGCUUUCUCUUUUGAAAACAUGAGAAAUAUCAAAUUCAAGGAGUUCAGACAACAAUAUAGACACAAUGGAAGGUCGGUUUCUUUGUUGUUGUUUUUGUAACUAUGAAUAAAUGGGCGUUGCUUGAAUGUAAUUGAGAUUAAUAUAUGUACAUUAAGUCUUUGAUUUGUAGUUUGGUUCUUAUUGGUUCAGGCUCAAACAAAGUGAUGCAGGUUGUCUUGGUCAUUCUGCUUCUGAUGAAAUCCGUCAUGCCAUCUUUAGAGCCUCAAGGUUGUGUACUAUGUUUCUUAAAGUUGUAUUAUACUUGGUCUAAACUGUUGUCUGAUGCGUUUUUGCAUAUGUUUUGGAAUGUUUUUUAAGCUGCUUUAUGGUGAUGCUGGACUUCUUAUUGCAGAUAUGCCAAAUGAAGAGGUUGAAAAGCUUAUUUAACGCGAUGACUUAUUUAACGCUUCUGAAAGUUCAGAAUUUUCAAGGACUAGAAGCACUGCUGUAGAAACGGCUUGUUGGCUUUUCCUGAUACUACUUCUGGAACACACUUCUAUUUUGGCAAUGAAUGUCUCACCGGCCAGAGUUUUCUAGCAGCGUAAGAGAUUCCAUACUAACUGUUGUUUAUGAAAUCUGAUACACACUGUUCUCCAAAGACGGAUUAAUUUUUUUUAGUAGUUUAUCUGGAUCUGAUGAUGGUUACAGCUUCACAUCUUCCAAGUAUGGAGAUGUGCGAAAAAAUGAAACAGUUACUCUUGCUGAACUGAACAAUUACGUACUGAACUCUCCACCGCAGGUUCGUCCACUUAGUUCGUUUUAUAGCUAUAUAUGUUUGAUUCUCUGAAAUCAUCAAGACAGUCCGGUGGACCCAACAACACAAGCUCCUCAAACUUCUGCUCCCAAGAAAUUUCUGAUGCCCAAGAAGACCCAUUGCAUUUAAGAGAUCCAACGCAGGAGUUUAUGAGUUAUAAACAGAGGUUGCGGUCCCAUUAGCUAUCUAGAAUUUUAAGUAUGAGUCCAAUAAUAAAGUAGUACUUUCCGUUCUCACCGAACCCAGCGUAAUCUGGUUAUUUUCUUAUUACGGUUUAGUUUUGGUUUCAAAUUUUUUGUUUCGAUGGUAUCAAUUUUUUUUACAGCCGAAGGUAUAAAUCUUAAGACUUUAAAAUGAAGAUAAGUGUACCUCAUGUUGUAAGAUGAAUUAUUAAACAGCACAACUAACAGACAGAUUAGAACGACCCAAUUUAGUUUUACCAGUGUGACUUGAUUCAUAAAUUGAAUUUAAACAUCCUGUGGAGUUGCACAGAAAAUAUCAUCCACGCAUUGGCAUCUUACAUCAAGCAAAGCCUGCGCAAUUGUACAUCGUCAAUCGUAAACAUUGAAAC